AAUGAAAAAAACGUUUUUUCAAAUGACUACCAAACGCAGCCGAAAGAAUAUUGUUCCGGAAAAAGCCGAUGCCUUUCGUCGUCUCUGACGAAGUCUCGGUGAAGAACCCCCUUUCGUCGUCCCUAUUGAACUCUCACUGAAAUCCUUCUCUCCUGGUCGAGCCCUGCUUUCUUUCGUAUCAAUUGAUGCCUCUCUAGCUUCGUUCUCGCUGGCGUGAAGAAACUCUUUUCGUCUCAGCUACGUACUGCACUCUCGUUGAUACCCUUCUCUCCCGCUCGCUGAAGCCCCCGCUCUCUAUUGUUUCAGUUCGUCUCAGGUUUGUGAAAUUAUGAUCGAUCCCAUUCAUGUUUAAUCCAUUUGGAUCGAGAUUUGGGCGAAAGAAUCUCUUACCUGUCGGCGACUCAAACCCCAAACCCUGGUUCCUAGUAGGGAACAAAAAAGAUCCCGUUCUUAGCUGUUCUUACCUCUCUUCUUCUGAAAUUAUCUUGCUAUACAUCUAUUUAACCAAACCCCUAAAUCCCAUUUUCCAGAAUCGAAAGUUUCCUUGGUUCUUACCUAAACCCUAGAAAGCACAGAGGAUUUCUUGGUUCGAGAAUUGAAAGUGUGAGGUGUGGUUCCAGAUUUAGAAGUUGCAAAAUCUCUCAAGCUGGAGUGGCAUCUGAAUCAACGAGUGUUGCCUUUGUUAUCCUCAAUUUUUAUUGAAGAUUGUCCCCACCCAGUUAUCGUUUCUACCCAGUUCUG